GUGGCCAGGGAGCCGCAGGCAAGGGACUAAGGGGAGGGGGGCUCAGUGCCAGCUGCUUAAAAAUGCCCCUGUGGCAGCGAGGGGCACCAGAGGCUGGGUCUAAUUAGUUGAGAAGCAGUGACACCCCCAACCACUCCCCAAACAGGCUGGCUCCCGUCUCCAGGCCCCAAGGAGCCACACCUGGACCAGACCCCAGGAAAGCCAAAGAGGGAGACUAUGGUACACUCUUCACAGCCAAGGGCAGGGGACAGAGGAGAGGCGGUGCCCAGGCAGGAUGCAACUAUCUCCAAGAGAUAGUUAGAGAAUGGCAGCCUAUCUUGAGUUCUGGCUGCUCUGCCCAGGAGGUCCCUUUGAAUGGCCAGAGAUGGUCUCCAAUGCUGUUGGCCUCCUGCAGAGGAAAGAGCCCAAGGCUGGGAAUGGAAACCCUUGGUUCUAUUCCUGGCUGUGCCCUAACUCUUCAUAUGACCUUCAACGCGACCUUGAACAUGCAGCUUCCUCUGGCCUCAGUGUGUCCAGCGAGAGGCUAGACCCCACCAGGCCUGGUGGCUCACUCCUAUAAUCCCAGCACUUUGGGAGGCCAAGGCAGGCAGAUCAUGAGGCAAGGGCACUAGCUGGUGGGAGCCACCCCGCCAUGCUGAUGUCAGAGAAGCAAGAACUCUGGAGAAGCAGCCUCCUGGGACCAGAGGAGGGCCAGCAGCAGGCAGCCCGGAGACAGAACUAAUGUGUCUGGGGGUGAGGGGAGGGGUGUGACUGCCGAAACUUCCUUUCUUGGUGAUUCCACAUCACUCCUUUCUGAUCCCUGAGCCUGUGCCACGCCCUGUGUGAUGUGCCAGGGACACCAGGCUCACCCACGCCUCUCCAAGCCUCCCGACAGAAGACAGAGGUCCCCCACAGCCAGAGACAUUUCCUGAAGACAUGGGGAACACAGAGGCAGAAACAGCCCAUCCACCCAGGAGCUGUCCCCCACACUGCCGGGAGCCGGCACCCAGAGCCGCCAGGUAAAACUGAGGCCACCUGGUUCAACAUCGCCUUUCAUAGAAGGGGAAGCAGCCACAGAAAGAAGGGCCUGGUAAGAAGUGGAACCUGGGACCCCCAAGCGGUGUCUCUCAUCCUGACUGGGGAUCCAGAGUAGGAGGGAGCCUUUGGUGGGGUAAGUGGAAUGGGGCAGUGGGGGUGGCCAUAGACCCCUCUUCUCAGUAAGGCCCUCAUGUGAAGGAGGCAGGGGUUGGGACAAGUGCUAAGUAUGCAAGACUCAAGGGAAGAGCUGCUGGAGCCAGGGGAAGCACCUCCCUCCCGGCCCCUCUGCCCCUCCUCAUAGCCCAGCUGCACUGACUCCUCCUCCAGGAAGCCUUCUCAGCUUCCCCAGGGGUGGGAACCUUUUCGUCCUCCAGGUGUGCUUGGCUGUCCUUUCUUGGGCUCUCUCUCUCUCUCUCCUCAUCCCACUUGAGUCUGCCCCCUAUUCACCUUGUGAGGGGAAUUUCCUUCUACUCAAUCUGACCGAGGUCCUCCAGGUCAAGGACGGCGUGGCUCUCAGUCCCACUUCCCCUUGGCACAUAGAAGAGGCAGUGCGCUGAAGGGACAGGUGAAAUGAUUAGACCCUGCCCCCAAACCAAGGCCUGGCCAAUUGGACAGGGCAUGAGACAUUCAGCGUAGAGGUUAAAAUGAGGGCCCUGGGUUAGGAACCCCAGCUCAGUUCUCAGCUCUGUACCCUUGGAAAAUUCCCUUCCCAUGGAGCUUUGUGAAUGCACAGGGACUUGCACAAAGAAAACAUUCAAUAUCCAGGACUAUAAAAUUCCACAAAUGACUGUGCUUAUUACAUUCAUUAUCACGAUGAUUAUUCCAGACACAAAGGAACAGAACGAGGCACCAACAGCAAGGGGCAAGCAGAUUCAAGGGCCACAGAGGAGAUGGAGGCAAACACCUUCCCCUGGUCAGAGGCUGUGCCUCAGCCCUUCUCCCUGCAUCAGUUUCUCCUUCAGAAGCAUGGGACUACCUCCCAUCUAGUUCUCGUUUCUAAACCCAGGGGAGAUGCUAUCUUUGCUGCAAUAAUCUUAGCCUACAUCUUGGAAUGGAAAUGGCCUUGGUGGAAAUGGUCUUCAACUCCUCUGGUCCAAGCUCAGGCCCUGUGACCCUGGAACAAUCCCCUUCCUGGUCCUCCAUGUAGGAGCAAUAACAUUCCCUUGCCAGCGGCACCAGCCAUUCUGAUGAUUAAAUGGUAUCGGACUCUGUUUUCCAAACUCAGUCAUUCAGAUGCCCCCUAUUUUAUUUCUUCCAUGUCUGCAAAUGAUUAUAAUAUUUUUAAAUGUAAGAUGAGUCCUUUUUAUUACACAUAGAAAUAGCUACUGUAAAUAGCAAACUCUAACACUGUGCCUAAUUAGGAAAUAAAGGUAACCAUAAAUACAGUAAAAAUGAAACAAUGUUAUUAUGCUUUAACCUGAUAGUGUGGCUUGCAAGGCCCUGGGCCUGAAGCCUGGGCAAUAAGUGAGAGUUAGAAAGGUGUCAAAGACAUGAUAGCAGCAAACUGAGGCUUUGUACCCCACGGUAAAUAGGACUGAAAGCAAAUUCACAGGGAGCAACUGAUCCAUUCCACAACAGAAUGCUCCCUGUCAAUUUGCUUUCCAUUCUGUUGUGUCCUGUCUCCCAGCAGAGACUACAAACUCCCCAAAACCACUUACCCACCAGCUGCACGUGAGAAGCCAAAGGUAGUUUAUGUGAAAGGGCUUUGGAAAUAAUCACGCACCAAGUGAAGGCAGAGGACACACCUUGUCAGCUUAGUUCUCAGCAGCAAAUCAUCUCUUUUCCAGGAUAACCCUCCCUGAUUCUUAUUGAAAUCUCUUUGCUGAUCACACUAAGCUCUUCUCUCUCAGGGGCAGUGGGAGCCGUGGAGAGUGGAGUAGACCAGCUGUCUGUGACCUGCAAGGGAGUCCAAUGUCAGAAUCACUCCCCAGCCAAAUGCACGGUUUUAAAAAAUCUAUUUAUUUAUUUAUGUAGAGACCAGGCUAUGAGACUGGCUAAUUUUUCGUAUUUUUGGAUAGAGACAGGAUUUCAUCAUGUUGCCCAGGCUGGUCUUGAACUCCUGGGCUCAAGCGAUCCACCUGCCUCGGCUUCCCAAAGUGCUCGGGAUUACAGGCGUGAGCCACUUCCCAGCUACUUGGGAGGCUGGGGCAUGAGAAUUGCUUUAACCCGGAAGGUGGAGUUUGCAGUGAGCCGAGAUCGUGUCACUGCACUCCAGCCUGGGCGACAGAGGGAGACUCUGUCUCAAAAAAAAAAAAGUCAAGGAGGGUUUCCCAGAGUGGCCACUUGAUUAGAGACCUAGCACAGGAGGAAGAGAUGGGCAGGGAGAGUGACGGGGAGCAGCACAGUCCCUGGGAGCCCGAAGUGGGUGGGCACAGGGCUCCCUAGGAGAAUGGAAGGACAUCUAUGAGCUGUAGCCCAAGAGGAAGAGGUCACUGAGGCUAGAUGUGGCAGACCCUCGCGGGCUUUGGGGAGGGCUUCACAAUUCAGCCUGAGGGCAAUGGGGAGCCCUUUUGGGAUAUUAAACUUGAGAAAAUAUGAGCAUAUUUGCAUCUUGAAAAAUCAUUAUGGGAAGAUGGCUGGGAAGAGAGGAGGAGUGGCAGAAGAAAGAUAGGUUGGAGACAAUUGAUUGUUCGAUGAUAUAAAAUGUUAAGUACCGUGAAUGAUGCUGUUUGGCUGGAAUGCACCAAGCAUAAAGGUGGGGCAUGGCAUCAAAAGGUAGGUCAACAUAUUAAAUAAUUCCAUGUAUUGAAAUAUCCAGAAAAUAUAUAGACAGAUCUAUAGAGAUAGAAACUGGUCUGCCCAGGACUAGGGGUUGUCUAAGGAUAAGGAGUUUCUUUUUUGGAUGGUGAAAUAACCUAAAAUAUAUUGUGCCAUUGUUUGCAAAACUUUGUGAAUAUAUUAAAAACCUGUUAAUUGUACUCAC
rnacentral:lncRNA from 1 species